GUGAAAACCAGGGUGGUUUAGACAGGAAACACUUCAUAUUGAUUAAUUAGCAGCUCAGCCGCGGUCGAAUUCCAUCAUUUGUCCAAAGCAGACGACAAGAUUCCGACUCAUCUUUUGAGCAUCGUUUCCGAGGAGAGCGCUCCGUACCCGGACUUCAGAUCCGCAUUUUUCCCACCAAGUAAGGACCUGCUCCAGACAUUUCCCCCGAAUGAUCUAUGGACUGAACAUCUGGAGACUUGGAGGGCAGUUGAAGAUGGAUGAUGUCAUUGUCAUUCUUGUUAAGGCCACCAAUGAACACAUGUGGAGUGGUCCAUGGGAAGAUGGGAAGAAGCAAAGUCUCAUGGAAGAGGGUUGUCACUUAACACAGAUGUUAAGUAUAUAAAUAUAUACAGAAUAAAUGUGUUUUUUUUUUUUCCUGUUCCCACCAGAUGUCAUUAAGACACAUAUUAAUACUGGAGCACUAUUUCAUAAAAUAUGGCAUAUAUUUUAUUCUUUCAGUAUACAUUUCAGUAUAAAGUUUUCAUUUAGUCCACUGCAAAUGAUAAUAUAGCCAUUUCACACUUUUGUCUGUGAAGUCUGACUAAUUGGGGAGAUUAUGGGUUAUGGUUAAGAUGCUGUAAAAAAAUUACCAAACAUGCCAAGAACAAUACACUAGUCACCAUACAGGAAAAAUGACAGGUUGCAAUAAAUCCUGUAAAGCAGAGUGCUCAAUAGAAAUAUCAGGAAAAAAGAAAGCAGCAAGCAGGGGCAGCUGAUAGUGUAGUGGUUAGAGCUGCUGCCUUUGGAUGUGGAGGUUGCUAGUUCAAAUUUUCCCUACUGUUGUGGCACUCUUCAUCUAGGUACUCACCCUUAAAUGCUCCAGUAAGUUUACCCACCUAUAUAAAUGGGUAAGUAACUCUAAGUUGCGUUGGAGAAAAGCAUCAGAUAAGUAUAAAAUCUAGAGUUUAAACAGGAGUUUAUUGUAUCUGUGUGUAUAUAUGAUUGACCAUCAUAAUGGAAAAUGUAUCUGUAGAAAUGAACCUCAGUUAAGUAUUUUAUAUUGGCCCGACGCACUCCCCUAGAGUAUAGAAGACGGAAGAAAAGAACUGGAAUAAAGUUGUUAGCCACAAUAACUCCUUUUUUAUAAAAGCAUUCAAUCCAUGACCAGACAUUUUUCCAGACAUGACC